rnacentral:rRNA from 1 species
CCUACGGGAGGCUGCAGUGAGGAAUAUUGGUCAAUGGACGAGAGUCUGAACCAGCCAAGUAGCGUGAAGGAUGACUGCCCUAUGGGUUGUAAACUUCUUUUAUAAAGGAAUAAAACGAGGCACGUGUGCCUUUUUGUAUGUACCAUAUGAAUAAGGAUCGGCUAACUCCGUGCCAGCAGCCGCGGUAAUACGGAGGAUCCGAGCGUUAUCCGGAUUUAUUGGGUUUAAAGGGAGCGUAGGUGGAUUGUUAAGUCAGUUGUGAAAGUUUGCGGCUCAACCGUAAAAUUGCAGUUGAAACUGGCAGUCUUGAGUACAGUAGAGGUGGGCGGAAUUCGUGGUGUAGCGGUGAAAUGCUUAGAUAUCGCGCAGAACCCCGAUUGCGAAGGCAGCGUACCGGCUCCACACUGACGCUGAGGCACGAAAGCGUGGGUAUCGAACAGGAUUAGAUACCCUGGUAGUC